rnacentral:rRNA from 1 species
UACGAAUGGGGCAAGCGUUGUUCGGAAUCACUGGGCUUAAAGCGUGCGCAGGCGGAUAUGAAAGUCAGGAGUGAAAUCCCAGGGCUCAACCUUGGAAUUGCUUUUGAAACUCCAUAUCUAGAAUCCGGUAGAGGUCAGUGGAAUUCCGAGUGUAGAGGUGAAAUUCGCAGAUAUUCGGAGGAACACCAGUGGCGAAGGCGACUGACUGGACCGGUAUUGACGCUCAGGCACGAAAGCGUGGGGAGCAAACAGGAUUAGAUACCCUGGUAGUCCACGCCGUAAACGAUGUGUGCUAGUUGUCGGGGUUUAAGACCUCGGUGACGCAGCGAAAGCAUUAAGCACACCGCCUGGGGAGUACGGCCGCAAGGUUAAA